rnacentral:misc_RNA from 1 species
UGCAUGUGGGGACAUGGUUCCUAGAUCCUCUUGGGAAGACUGCCUCUUUCUCGCCCGUUGUGGUGAGGUUUCCUCGCGUGAAUGUGAUGUUGUUAUCUUGCUUUGAGCACUAAUAUACGUGUAGCAACAACUGGUUUCUUGACACUCGCAUCGGUGUAGCCCGCAUCGGAAAGCGAUUUGCAAUGUGAUUUGCAAAAUUCAAUGAAUCAUCGGAUCUUGGAAGUCACCUUGCAUCUCCUGUUUUUCCACAGGCUGUGCCGGUUAGAGAGCCAUUAUAUUCUCACCCGAUCUUAUUAGCUACAUAGCUUUGCACUUGAAUACUACCCGGGACUUACUGAAAGGGCCCCCCGAAUUUUUAAUUCUGACGACUGGCUAAGCCAACACCGUAUGACAAAAGGGCAAAAAUGUUUGUGGUGCUUAUGAGUUUUUGGUUUUGACCAUCACAAUAAAUGCGUGAUAUCCGAGGUUUACAUACUUAAGAUUUUCUCCCUGAACUUUCAUCUUCCAAUGGCCGAAGGAAAAUGCACUUAAGGAUGGCUGUCGAGAACAAUAAAGAAAAACACCCCCUGUAAUUUGGCCGGGGAUGGAUAGAAAGAAAAAAUACGGAGACACGCUUUGACCACUCUC